rnacentral:rRNA from 1 species
GAGAGUAGUACUAGGAUGGGUGACCUCCUGGGAAGUCCCCGUGUUGCAUCCC